UAUACAUUGGUGUAAAUGCACGAAGACUUUUGAUGUCUUAAGUUUUGGUUUAAAACCAAGAUGUAUAA
rnacentral:tRNA from 1 species